UCCGUCAACUAAUGGGCUAUUAUAUUUUUGCGCAGAACUAAAACUGCAUAAGUGACGGAGUCCUUGAUAGAAGCAUUUAGCUCCAUUAAAUGUGGUGAAAACCUGCAAAGUACAUAGGGUUAAAAAAUUUAGCAUUUAACUGUUAGGAAUGGAGCUCCUAACAGUUUUUU
ncrna:unclassified sequences FuFi-1 RNA